AGAGUUUGAUCAUGGCUCAGAUUGAACGCUGGCGGAAUGCUUUACACAUGCAAGUCGAGCGGCAGCACGGGGGCAACCCUGGUGGCGAGCGGCGAACGGGUGAGUAAUACAUCGGAACAUGCCCAGUCGUGGGGGAUAACACUUCGAAAGAAGUGCUAAUACCGCAUACGUCCUGAGGGAGAAAGCGGGGGAUCGCAAGACCUCGCGCGAUUGGAGUGGCCGAUGUCAGAUUAGCUAGUUGGUGGGGUAAAGGCCUACCAAGGCAACGAUCUGUAGCUGGUCUGAGAGGAUGAUCAGCCACACUGGGACUGAGACACGGCCCAGACUCCUACGGGAGGCAGCAGUGGGGAAUUUUGGACAAUGGGGGCAACCCUGAUCCAGCCAUUCCGCGUGAGUGAAGAAGGCCUUCGGGUUGUAAAGCUCUUUCGGCAGGAACGAAACGGUGAGCUCUAACAUAGCUUGCUAAUGACGGUACCUGAAGAAGAAGCACCGGCUAACUACGUGCCAGCAGCCGCGGUAAUACGUAGGGUGCGAGCGUUAAUCGGAAUUACUGGGCGUAAAGCGUGCGCAGGCGGUUGUGUAAGACAGGUGUGAAAUCCCCGGGCUUAA
rnacentral:rRNA from 1 species